rnacentral:rRNA from 1 species
CCUACGGGUGGCAGCAGUGGGGAAUAUUGCACAAUGGGCGCAAGCCUGAUGCAGCCAUGCCGCGUGUGUGAAGAAGGCCUUCGGGUUGUAAAGCACUUUCAGCGGGGAGGAAGGCGUUAAGGUUAAUAACCUUGUCGAUUGACGUUACCCGCAGAAGAAGCACCGGCUAACUCCGUGCCAGCAGCCGCGGUAGUACGGGGGGUGCAAGCGUUAAUCGGAAUUACUGGGCGUAAAGCGCACGCAGGCGGUCUGUCAAGUCGGAUGUGAAAUCCCCGGGCUCAACCUGGGAACUGCAUUCGAAACUGGCAGGCUAGAGUCUUGUAGAGGGGGGUAGAAUUCCAGGUGUAGCGGUGAAAUGCGUAGAGAUCUGGAGGAAUACCGGUGGCGAAGGCGGCCCCCUGGACAAAGACUGACGCUCAGGUGCGAAAGCGUGGGGAGCAAACAGGAUUAGAUACCCCGGUAGUC